rnacentral:rRNA from 1 species
UACGUAGGGGGCAAGCGUUGUCCGGAAUCAUUGGGCGUAAAGAGCGUGUAGGCGGCCAGAAAAGUCCGCUGUGAAAACUCGAGGCUCAACUUCGAGCUGUCGGUGGAAACUUUCUGGCUAGAGUCCGGAAGAGGAGAAUGGAAUUCCUGGUGUAGCGGUGAAAUGCGCAGAUAUCGGGAGGAACACCAAUGGCGAAGGCAGCUCGCUGGGACGGUACUGACGCUGAGGCGCGAAAGCGUGGGGAGCAAACAGG